GUCGGGCUUGGUGCACGUGGGCGUGCGGGAAGCAUGCGGAACCACCGACGGAGGACAAUGGGGCACGUGGGACCACCGACUUGUCCUCGGUGCACAAGGGAAGAGAGUGGGGACAUGUGCAGAGAUGGCGAUGCCGUCAAUCUUGGCUUCGGUGCAAUUUGACGAGGCCCAGGGCCACCGAUCUUACCUCGAUGCAUAACAGGGAAGCCUGGGGCCUAUAGAUCUAGUUACGAUGCUGGGAGAGGCUGCACGGGAGCAGUGAAACUGACCCCGAUGCUGGCGGAGGUGUGCGUGCAUGCGGAGAAGGCCGAGGACCACCGAUCUCUUUCCCUUCUUCCCCACUUCUUUUUGUCUCUCUCUCUCUCUCUCUCUCUCUCUCUCUCUCUCUCUCUCUCNNNNNNNNNNNNNNNNNNNNUUCUCUCUCUCUCUCUCUCUCUCUCUCUCUCUCUCUCUUUCUUCAUUCAUUUUUCUUUUGUCCCACUUUCCUCUCUUUUUUCCCUCCCAUCUUCCUUAUCAUUUGUGAUAAGAUGGGACAAGAGGAGGGGGGAUGCUAAGCACAAGUGGCCUAUGGCAAUUCCCAUAACAUGCACAAAUUGAGAAUUAAUGAAAGAAUAAUGUG
rnacentral:lncRNA from 1 species